rnacentral:rRNA from 1 species
AGAUGACGUCGAGUCUCGUGGGCUCGGAGAUGUGUAUAAGAGACAGCCAUAAGACUGAAGGAGUGACGGAGGAGGCUAGUUAGGAUGGACUGGUGGAAUAGUCUAAUGAAACGCAAAGAGGGAUAUGUAGGCAAAUCCGCAUAUCAAAACCUUGAAGUGAGAACCGCGAGGCCUAAUGAAGCCACACUUCCAAGAAAAGCUUCUAGGAUAUUUUAUGGUGCCCGUACCGUAAACGGACACACGUAGGCGAGGAGAGAAUCCAAAGACGCGCGAGAUAAUUCUUGUUAAGGAACUCUGCAAAAUGACUCUGUAACUUCGGAAUAAAGAGGGCUCACGGAAGUGAGACGCAGAAAAUAGGCCCAAGCGACUGUUUAACAAAAACAUAGGUUUCUGCUAAAGCGUAAGCUGAUGUAUAGGAGCUGACGCCUGCCCAGUGCUGGAAGGUUAAGAGGAGAAGUUAGUCGCAAGGCGAAGCUUUGAAUUGAAGCCCCAGUAAACGGCGGCCGUAACUAUAACGGUCCUAAGGUAGCGAAAUUCCUUGUCAGGUAAGUUCUGACCCGCACGAAAGGCGUAACGAUUUGGGCGCUGUCUCAACAAGAAACUCGGUGAAAUCAUAGUACCUGUGAAGAUGCAGGUUACCCGCGAUCAGACGGAAAGACCCCAUGGAGCUUCACUGCAACUUAAUAUUGAUAUUGGGUGUGUGAUGUACAGGAUAGGUGGGAGACUAGGAAGCGAGUACGCUAGUAUUCGUGGAGUCAACGUUGGGAUACCACCCCUUGCACAUUUAGUAUCUAACUAGUUUUCAUGGAACUGGGAAUAGGACAGUGUUAGGUGGGCAGUUUGACUGGGGCGGUCGCCUCCCAAAGAGUAACGGAGGCGCCCAAAGGUUCCCUCAGAAUGGUUGGAAAUCAUUCAUAGAGUGCAAAGGCAGAAGGGAGCUUGACUGCGAGACGGACAGGUCGAGCAGGAACGAAAGUUGGGCUUAGUGAACCGGCUGUGCUGAAUGGAAAGGCAGUCGAUCAACGGACAAAAGCUACCCUGGGGAUAACAGGCUGAUCUCCCCCAAGAGUUCACAUCGACGGGGAGGUUUGGCACCUCGAUGUCGGCUCGUCGCAUCCUGGGGCUGAAGCAGGUCCCAAGGGUUUGGCUGUUCGCCAAUUAAAGCGGCACGCGAGCUGGGUUCAGAACGUCGUGAGACAGUUCGGUCCCUAUCCAUCGUGGGCGUAGGAUAUUUGAGAGGCUUUGUCCCUAGUACGAGAGGACCGGGAUGAACGCACCGAUUGUGCACCUGUUGUCGCACCAGCGGCACGGCAGGGUAGCGAAGUGCGGAUGAGAUAAACGCUGAAAGCAUCUAAGCGUGAAACUCGCCUCAAGAUAAGAUAUCCCAUAUCGUAAGGUAGUAAGACCCCUUGAAGACAACAAGGUUGAUAGGUCGGAGGUGUAAGUGCAGUAAUGUAUUGAGCUGACCGAUACUAAUAGGUCGAGGGCUUGAUCU